rnacentral:rRNA from 1 species
GACGAACGCUGGCGGCGUGCUUAACACAUGCAAGUCGAACGGGAUCCAAUGGCUUUUUGUUUUUGGUGAGAGUGGCGAACGGGUGAGUAACACGUGAGUAACCUGCCCCCUUCUUUUGGAUAACCGCAUGAAAGUGUGGCUAAUACAGGAUAUUCCAGGCUGGUCGCAUGAUUGGGUUGGGAAAUGGUUUGGUCUGGUGGGGGAUGGGCUCGCGGCCUAUCAGCUUGUUGGUGGGGUGAUGGCCUACCAAGGCGGUGACGGGUAGCCGGCCUGAGAGGGUGGGCGGUCACACUGGGACUGAGAUACGGCCCAGACUCCUACGGGAGGCAGCAGUGGGGGAUUUUGCACAAUGGGCGCAAGCCUGAUGCAGCGACGCCGCGUGAGGGAUGAAGGCCUUCGGGUUGUAAACCUCUUUCGCUGGGUUGAAAGGCCAUGCUUUGGGUGUGGUUGAUUUGAACUGGUAAAGAAGUACCGGCUAACUACGUG